AAGAAGGCCGGGCGUGGUAGCUCACGCCUGUAAUCCCAGCACUUUGGGAGGCCAAGGCGCGCAGAUCACGAGGUCAGGAGUUCCAGACCAGCCUGGCCAAUAUGGUGAAACCCUGUCUCUAGUAAAAAAAAAAAAAAAAAAAAAAAAUUAGCUGGGCAUGGUGGUGGGCGCCUGUAGUCCCAGCUACUCGGGAGGCUGAGGCAGGAGAAUGGCAUGGACCCGGGAGGUGGAGCUUGCAGUGAGCCAAGAUCGUGCCACUGCACUCCAGCCUGGGCAACAGAGCGAGACUCCGUCUCAAAAAAAAAAA
rnacentral:lncRNA from 1 species